rnacentral:rRNA from 1 species
GACGAACGCUGGCGGCGUGCUUAACACAUGCAAGUCGAGCGGUAAGGCCCUUUCGGGGGUACACGAGCGGCGAACGGGUGAGUAACACGUGGGUGACCUGCCCUCAGCUCUGGGAUAAGCCUGGGAAACCGGGUCUAAUACUGGAUAUGACUCCAUGACGCAUGUUGUGGGUGGAAAGCCUUGUGCGGCUGAGGAUGGGCCCGCGGCCUAUCAGCUUGUUGGUGGGGNGAUGGCCUACCAAGGCGACGACGGGUAGCCGGCCUGAGAGGGCGACCGGCCACACUGGGACUGAGACACGGCCCAGACUCCUACGGGAGGCAGCAGUGGGGAAUCUUGCGCAAUGGCGAAAGCCUGACGCAGCGACGCCGCGUGA